GCAUAUCAAUAAGCGGAGGAAAAGGAAACCAACAGGGAUUGCCUCAGUAACGGCGAGUGAAGCGGCAACAGCUCAAAUUUGAAAUCUGGCCCCAGGCCCGAGUUGUAAUUUGCAGAGGAUGCUUUUGGCGCGGUGCCUUCCGAGUUCCCUGGAACGGGACGCCAUAGAGGGUGAGAGCCCCGUCUGGUUGGAAACCAAGCCUUUGUAAAGCUCCUUCGACGAGUCGAGUAGUUUGGGAAUGCUGCUCAAAAUGGGAGGUAUAUGUCUUCUAAAGCUAAAUACCGGCCAGAGACCGAUAGCGCACAAGUAGAGUGAUCGAAAGAUGAAAAGCACUUUGAAAAGAGAGUUAAAUAGCACGUGAAAUUGUUAAAAGGGAAGCGUUCAUGACCAGACUUGGACCGGUUAAUCAUCCAGCGUUCUCGCUGGUGCACUUUGCCGGUCCAGGCCAGCAUCAGUUCGCCGCGGGGGAUAAAGACGUCGGGAAUGUGGCUCUUCGGAGUGUUAUAGCCCUUCGUGUAAUACCCUGUGGUGGACUGAGGUUCGCGCUCUGCAAGGAUGCUGGCGUAAUGGUCAUCAACGACCCGUCUUGAAACACGGACCAAGGAGUCGUCUUCGUAUGCGAGUGUUCGGGUGUAAAACCCCUACGCGUAAUGAAAGUGAACGCAGGUGAGAGCUUCGGCGCAUCAUCGACCGAUCCUGAUGUUCUCGGAUGGAUUUGAGUAAGAGCAUACGGGGCCGGACCCGAAAGAAGGUGAACUAUGCCUGUAUAGGGUGAAGCCAGAGGAAACUCUGGUGGAGGCUCGCAGCGGUUCUGACGUGCAAAUCGAUCGUCAAAUAUGGGCAUGGGGGCGAAAGACUAAUCGAACCUUCUAGUAGCUGGUUUCCGCCGAA
rnacentral:rRNA from 1 species